rnacentral:rRNA from 1 species
GACGAACGCUGGCGGCGUGCUUAACACAUGCAAGUCGAACGAAGUGGCGAACGGGUGAGUAACGCGUAAUCAACCUGCCCUUCAGCGGGGGACAACAGUUGGAAACGACUGCUAAUACCGCAUACUGAAGGAGGGGAUUGCGUUUGCUUAGCAAGUUGGCGGGGUAACGGCCCACCAAGGCGAUGAUCAGUAGCCGGGCUGAGAUGAUGGACGGGCACAACGGGACGGGGACACGGCCCAGACCCCUACGGGAUGGAGCAGUUGGGAAACUUCCGCAAUGGACGAAAAUCUUACGGGGCAACGCCGCGUGAGUUAUGACGGCCUUCGGGUUGUAAAGCUCUGUUAAUCGGGACGCGGUACCGGAAUAGAAAGCCACGGCUAACUACGUGCCAGCAGCCGCGGUAAUAC